UACAAUCUCAAGCCUUGCUUGGUAUUGGGCUUUCGUCUCCCUUGUCUUUGUACAUGUAGUGACGUGCCUGAAAAUCAAUGGCGGUGCCUCAAUAGACUCAAGCGUAGCAGACUGACUCACGCUUUGGAGAAACUGUUGUAGGUUCUGUAUAUAAAAUAACAAU
rnacentral:misc_RNA from 1 species